rnacentral:snoRNA from 1 species
AAGACUAUACUUUCAGGGAUCAUUUCUAUAGUACGUUACUAGAGAAGUUUUUCUGAUCGUGUAGAGCACUGAAAAAAAAAAAAAAAAGAUU